CCUACGGGAGGCAGCAGUGGGGAAUAUUGGGCAAUGGAGGAAACUCUGACCCAGCGACGCCGCGUGAGGGAUGAAGGCCUUCGGGUUGUAAACCUCUUUCAGUAGGGAAGAAGCGAAAGUGACGGUACCUACAGAAGAAGCACCGGCUAACUAUGUGCCAGCAGCCGCGGUAAUACAUAGGGUGCAAGCGUUGUCCGGAAUUAUUGGGCGUAAAGAGCUCGUAGGUGGUUCGAUACGUCGGAUGUGAAAAUCAGGGGCUCAACCCCUGACCUGCAUCCGAUACGGUCGAGCUAGAGUUUGGUAGGGGAGACUGGAAUUCCUGGUGUAGCGGUGGAAUGCGCAGAUAUCAGGAGGAACACCGAUGGCGAAGGCAGGUCUCUGGGCCAAUACUGACACUGAGGAGCGAAAGCGUGGGGAGCGAACAGGAUUAGAUACCCUGGUAGUCCACGCCGUAAACGGUGGGCGCUAGUUGUGCGAACCUUCCACGGUUUGUGCGACGCAGCUAACGCAUUAAGCGCCCCGCCUGGGGAGUACGAUCGCAAGAUUAAAACUCAAAUGAAUUGACGG
rnacentral:rRNA from 2 species